CAUAGCGACUAUCGUGGCAUAUCAAUAAGCGGAGGAAAAGAAACUAACUAGGAUUCCCUCAGUAACGGCGAGUGAAGCGGGAAGAGCUCAAAUUUGAAAUCUUCAAGGUUCUACCUUGACGAAUAGUAGUUUAAAGAAGUGUUUUCUGUUGAGUGUUUGGUAAAAGUUCUUUGGAAUAGGACAUCAUAGAGGGUGAGAAUCCCGUAUUUGAUCAUUAUUUCCAGCUGUGUGAUACACUUUCAAAGAGUCGGAUUGUUUGGGAAUGCAGUCCAAAAUGGGUGGUAAAUUUCAUCUAAAGCUAAAUAUUGGCGAGAGACCGAUAGCGAACAAGUACCGUGAGGGAAAGAUGAAAAGAACUUUGAAAAGAGAGUUAAACAGUACGUGAAAUUGUCAAAAGGGAAGCGUUUGACACCAGUGUUGUUUCUCCGAAAAUCAAUUACGAAUGUUUUAUUUCUGAGAGAAGUUAUGACUUCAUCGGCUUGCUUCUUUCUUUAUGAAACUUUCUUAAUGCACUUUUCGGUUAACAAGUCAACAUCAAUUUCUUUUGUUGUAAAAGGGUAUGAGGAAGGUGGCUUUCUUUUCGGAGAAAGUGUUUAUAGCCUUGUGCCUCUGCAAUCGGAGAGAUUGAGGUCUGCAGCGUAGAUCCUUCGGGGUUAGAUACGUUUGUGCUAAGUUAUAGCUUUUCAUAGACAACUUGUUGACUAUGUUUAGUCCUGUAGCUUACUCGCUGACGCUAUUUUACCUACGCUUAGGAUGUUGAUAUGCAUGACUGAUAU
rnacentral:rRNA from 1 species